UGUCUGAACUUCAGACUGGAGCUGCCUUUAAAAGAACCCAACAACUUGCCAUAUGAGGAAUCUACUAGACAAAGCAUUCACUCUAAUGUUUUAUAUUACUUUUAGCAAAAACUGAUUUUGGAAGACUUCCUAGGCCACCUCUUUUGAGGCUCCUCUUUCAGAAGAAGCAUGUCUUGCUGCGCAUUACAAAUCACUGGCCUAAUAUUCGGAGGUGUGGGCAUGGUUGGGACUUUGGCAGCCACAGUUAUGCCACAGUGGAGAGUUUCUGCCUUCAUUGAGGGCAACAUUGUAGUGUUCGAGACCAUUUGGGAAGGACUAUGGAUGGACUGCAUCAGUCAGCUCGGGAUCAGGCUGCAGUGCAAAUUCUAUGACUCCCUCUUGGCUCUUUCCCUGUCCUUGGAGAUGUUCAGAGCCCUCAUGUGCAUUGCCAUGGGACUGUCGAUCACUGCCUUUUUGAUGGGCAUUGCUGGUGUGAAGUACACUCACCGAACCAAGGAGGAUCCCCAGGGCGUCAGCGUCUUCAUGCUGGCAGCUGGAAUCUCUUUUCUCCUGACAGGCAUUCUCGUUCUGAUCCCGGUGUCCUGGACUGGUGGUAGCAUCAUACGUGACUUCUAUGAUCCGAACGUCCCCGUGCCACUGAAGCGAGAACUAGGAGCUGCUCUCUACGUAGGCUGGGUGAGCUCUGCACUUCUUAUCACUGCAGGAACAAUGUAUUGUAGCUUCUGGUGCUUGGCUGAUACAUCCCAAAAAUCCAGCUAUCCAUCACCUUCCCAUCACAGAUGGCACAAACGUGACUUUGCAAGAGGGAAAUCCCUAGGCAUGCAGGCCUACGUGUGAUCUUUCUGCUUAGCAUGUUGAUAUGUACUGACUGACUUUCAUGCCUAAUUAAACUGUGAGUCUGCAAUGGAGGAAUAAUUUUGUUCAUUUGCUAUUUACUAUUAACUGUGUACAUACAUAUCUACUCUCUAACAUGCCUAUAGAAGAUGCUAUUAUACAGAUAUUAUGGCAGAACUCAGUCAGAAGAAAAAUCUCACCAGUUCGUAGGAGUGAAAUGUGGCAUGGGAACAGCAGCAGCUGGGAGUCUCUCAUAGACAGACAACAAACAGAGCAUGGCUGGGCUGGAGGGAAGGUGGCUACUGCGCAAUAGCAGCGUUGCCCCCUCCCCACCUCCCCAUAACCCAUGAUGUGUGAAGGCUGCAGUACCUUUUACUCUAAGCUAAAGUCUUUGUAAGGACAGCUCUAGGACGGUGGUGGGAAGCACGGAGCUGGUGGCAUGGCUGAUGCAAUUGCUGAAUGACAGGAGAAGUCACAAACAAUGCUACCUCCAGUAUUAGUACACCAGUGUUCAUGCUCCUCCAUCAGAGACCUGCACGACUGACUGUGGAUUUCAUAGGUGUUUGUAGGGUUGAUGUAUCCUUCUUAUUCUUUCUGCAGGGCACAGAAUCCAGUUCGUGAUUUAAUCACUUCACCAGACUUUGCCCUAAAUAUAUUAGCUUUUCCAUUGCUUGCUACCUCUUGUCUUUUAUGGCUUCUCCUGUUCUAUAGGUAGCAUCUCCUGAUCUUAAAAUUCAGGACAGGUCAUCCGUCUUUAGCCACUUUAAAGCACUGUGCUAAUGUCAAGUAUAACUAAACAAGCCAGGAAAUGUAAAUGUCUAAUCCCCACAUUCCCCCUGGAGGAUCAAGAGUUCCUCCCCACAUCUUCCAUCACACCCACAAAACCCAAGCCCUAAUGUUGUUCCGGCUGUUUUGUGUUUGCAAGAGUUAUUGUAAAAUGCAGACUGAGAAGCCUGAUGCCUCUCUGUCCGUUGUGUGGAAUUCAACAGUAUUUGCAGCUGUGCAUUUCUUUUACAUCUGAAAUUGUGGAGCCUGCUUCUGAAAGUAUGCAUGUCACAAUGUUAAUAAGCGAAGAACCAAAGGAGGCCAACUUCAAAACAAAUUUUCUGUCCACUGGUUUGUCACACAGCAGUAAUGGAUUGUACCAUUCAUUGAUAAUUUUAUGGCACAGGUACUCAGUUUGAUCCUUUUCUGUGUCUGUGACUGGUAUCUGAAAACCUAGUUUAAUGACUUUUCGAGUUGUGCAGAGCAAUGCCUCUAUAUAUUCAUUUGACUGUUCAAUUUGAAGAGGAACAUGAAAAGCUGCAUUUAAUUAAAAAAGUCUUUUAUUAACUUGACUUCAGAUGAACCUAAAUGAAAUAGUGCUGUCGAACGCGGAUAUUCAUUACAUAUAUUAGCUAAUGUGCAUUUACAUUUAAGGCAACUAGCUCAGAUCUUUUAAUGGGAAUUCUCUAGUCACCAGAAAACAAGUUUAAUGUAUCCUAAUCACUACUUGAAGAGUCAAAUCAGCAGCUGGUUCGUGUAACGAGACCUACCGCGUGUGUGCACUGACACAGAUAUUCUUUAUCAAAGUGAUGCUUCUCUUCAAAAUACCUCCUGCAUGCGGGACCUGUAGACCUGAACAGAUCUUGCUGUUUCGUAGGUAAAGCUCUAAGGUCCUGGUUUUUCAAGACCCAGCCUGCUGCCUAUUGCCACAUCCAGAAGUGCUGCCCAACCUGGCUGCAAGUGCACACUGCCCCAAGGAGCUCUUCUUAAAAUGACCUGACCGGCUUCAACAGGUGAGCAAAAGGAGACUCUGGAAAAGCCAGUGCUGGUGCUAAUCUCCUCCUUGCAGCCCUGAGACAGAAGAUGCAUUACAAUAUAAUGGCCUUUCCAAGGAUCUAGGGGAAUAAUUUUUUCCUUCUCUUGCCUGAAUGUAUUCACAAGCUGUGGGACCAGAUAUGUGCUUUCUGAAGGGGCUGACUGACAACACUGACUUGUUCUUCUGUGGGCCCCAGACUAAAUGUGAUCAAAAUGCCAGUUUAUGCUGGAGAUGUGAUGCUGAUGACAUUGUGCUGAACCUCAUUACACAGGAACAUGCAAUGGCUCUCAGGUGAGCUGGAGGUGGGGGAGAAGGAGUGUCGAUUUGCUGGGGGAUGCGCAUGAUAUGAGGAAGUGUUGGUUUGGAGUAGGUACCAAAAAAGUCUCCCAAAUGUCCCUGGGCAGAGCAGCAGCAGCUUCCUCUCCUGGUGGCUGGGCUCACUGUGCCCGUUAUGCAGCUGGAGCGCCGCCCAAAAAGCUCUUUGGCAUCACACAGCUGGGAAACACUCCACUGCCAACAGGUAAUUACACACUAACCUUUCUUUGAGUGGUGCCAGCACCAAAUUAUCUUUCAAGAGAGAUCGAGCGUUCCCAUGUAAUGCAGCGUUCACAAGCCCAUGACUCAGCUGGUACUGGCAUGUUAUUUCAGACUGGUGCCAUUUCACAGGGAGUCCCAAAACACCCCUAAACCCUUCCCGAAUGAAACAAAGGUUUCAAAGUGGAGAUAAUAUCUUUUAUUGAACCAUUUAGUUUAGGGAUGCAAGAAUUUGGAGAUAACGCUUCAACUGUUCAGUAUACUCUUGCAUGAGGAAUGAUGGUCCAGUUCAAACAGUGUUGAAGCCAAUCGAAAGGUUCAUGUAUGACCAAUAGAGUUUGGAUAAGAUUUUUUAAGCAUCUGACAUUUUAAUAUCAGCUAUAUUUAUUCAGGCUCAGCUGUCAGUGGUCUUGGAGAUGUUUGUUCAGUUGCUCAGGCUCAUAGAGGGAGAAUACCCUGCAAUUGCUGAAACACCCUGCCUGCUGAAAUCUGCUUUUUGGUAUUCUUUCUCCUUCAGCAUUUCUGGAAUGUCUCCUCAACUCCUCGUGCAUGCACAUGUGCACACACACAGUGUAGCACAUACACAGUGGCAGAGACUUGAUGGCCAUGUUCACUGUUAUUUCCCAUGUAUUCACAUGUUAUUUCCUAUAAUUUACAAUGUGUUUCUAAACUACACAAUCUAUUUUAUCAUUGGUAGAGUGGAAUGCUUCUAAACAUCACGUUUUUUUGAAGACUGGGAGAACAUAAUCAAGUACACUUUUUACUGAUUGUGUGCUUACUUCCCUAAUUAAUACCAGAAAGUCACCACUGUUUUGCCUUUCCUUUAAGACAUAGCUUGGGAUUUUCUUUUAAGGAUGUUGUCCUGUCAGCAGGGAAGUUAAUGAAUUCAGGUUCCUCCAGGCUGCUGUACUAUUGCCCUGCCAGUAGCUACCCCCUUAGUGCAAGAUGCCAGACAUGUUUGCUGUGGCGGCCCCACUGGGUAAGAGACAUGGACCUCCAUGGAGAUCUGCUGCCCACACCACCGGGCCACUGAGUCUCCCUGCCUCUCUCUCUGUGGCAGCAUUAUUUUGAUCUUGACUCCCUCUGACCAUUUUUCCUGAAAUUUGUAUUAACUUACUUAUCCUUGAGGCUUUGACUCCUCUUUCAAAUUUGACGGAAGUUGGCUGGCAGGUACCGGAGUUACUGCAGAUGGCUGGACAGACAGAUGGAUAGAAUAAUUGCAUAAAACUAGUUUUUGUGAAGAGUAAAGCUGAAAAUGUGUUUUAAAUGAGGUUUGACCCUGCUAUAUUUUCUUAUUUUAUUUUUGUGGUAGAAUUACUGUUGAUUCUAGCACUGCUGUGGGAAUUGCCCUAAUCAGUUAACUUUAACUGCCAAACCAGCCGGCGACAAAAAAUAAUCUGCACAGGAUCUGGAUUAGUAAUGGGUAUUGAUGUGUUUUUUUCUCUUUCCAAGUGAUUUAACAAGAAUAGAUUCUUUUCUAAUGCCAAAGUAUUGCAGAAGAAUAGAUUCUUUUCUAAUGCCAAAGUAUUGUAGAAAUCUUUCCAACAACAUGAUCUAAAACUCUCAUAUCUGGUCUUUUUAAUCUUCCCAUCACAUUUUAAAUAACAUUUCUCUGUAUUCAUUAUUGAAAUUUCAAUUGCAUUGUGUGCCUAUGACUGCAUGCAGUUGGCUGUGUAAAAAGAUAUUAGUUGACAUCAGCAGAAUAAAAUAAUGGUGUCUACAUGCUGGAAUAAUGUAACGUUUUUACUCUGCAGCCUGUUUCAUUAGCAGAGCAGUGCUGCUCCAGGAAAUCAAUGCAAUAACACUUUAGAAAUGCUUGCUAAUAUUGCAUUCUAAGAGAAGGAAAUACAGAAAUAGAAAUGACCAGGUUUUGUUUUAUUGGACUUGAUCUUUUUAGGUGAAAUCUCAUUGGCUUUAUGGCUUUCAUAAAGGCAUGAUUUAUGUAAGACUUCAGGGCCUAGUGGUACCAUUAUAGAAGGAAUGGUGAGAAAUAAAGCUUUUUUAAAAUACGUAAGAAAUUUCACAAAGCUUUGCUAAAGUAGAAUGCUCAAAUUAUUAGAUGGAUUAAUAAUUAAAAUUGCAAUUGGGAUUUAAAAAGUUCAAUAAUGUGAUUUUAGAACCGCUAAAAUACUGUUUUUGCACUUCUCUAGAAUGUUUACUUUUUUUUUCCAAUUCAGUACAAAAUGAUUAAUUGACAUUUAAUUAAGUGGAGUAAGCUAAGAUGACCUGGGGGAAGUGUAGAAAAGCCAAUUGCUUCUAACAUUCAUGACAUUGUCCAUAACAUCUAACUAUGAAAGGUUCUUAACUUUUGCAACAGAAAAUAAUUAAAUUUUACUAGGACAGAGUUAUUUUAUUUUUCAAAUUAAUUGCAGGAUGUGUGAGCAUGCGUGUACUUGAAUGAAUUCAAAUUGCUAUUUAUCUUUUCAAAAGCACUUUUAGCUGUGGCAAUAAUGCAAUUACUAGCCACCGGAAGUGUAUUUAUUGAUGUCUAAAUCAAUAAAUCUUAAUAAUGACUGAAAACUAGUCAACUUUCAUCAUUAUAAGAUACUGGAGUUCUUGUUAAAAAAGAUGAAUAUCCUUCCCCUUUUUAGCUAAAAAACUGCACCCAUCUUUUAUUUAUAAGUUUAUUCUUUUUUUUUUAUUUACUAUUAGCACUAUGGCUUAAUACAUCUUUUCUCUCCAUUGUCAAAUGAAAAAUCUUAGGCUCCUCAAAUUCCCAGUGCAACUGUUCAUUCAGGGAAACCAAAUGUUCUUGGAUUACUCCACACUUUUGUGACAAACUGGGUGAUCAGAUUAAUUUCAGAGAACAAUUUAUUUCUGCAACCCAUCUUCUAACAGAAGUAUUAGAGGAUGCCUUUGACUUUACUGAAAUCCAUACAUAAUAAAAGCACACUUUGAAGGCAAGGUUAUCUGAUACAGGUAGAAGCAAUAAUUAUGAGUGGAUAAGGACAGAGCAGGGCAAAAACCUAUUUUAAAAGGAUAAUGACUGAGCAGAGGGAAGCUGGAAGGCUUAGAGAGUGCAGAAAAACAGCACUGGUGGCAUUUGCAACACUGUAAUAAGAAUUACAGUACUACACUUGAAAUGUCAGUGCAUACAUAGUGUUUCCUAGCAAAUAAUAGCCAGACAACUUCAAAAAUGCUGCAAGCACAGACAUGAGAGGAGUCUGUGCUGGGAAACAUGAUCAUCUGGACCAUAAUGCUAAGUACAAGGCGAAACUACAAGAAAUUAGUGCUUACUCAUUGCUUUGUAUCUUUAAAUCACUGUCCCAAUAUUAGUUAAGUAAUUUCUGUGUUUUCUGUAACACGGGGAAGGUUUAUGAUCCCAGUUCUACAAAUGCAGGAAGUUAUUAAGGCCCCAGUUAAGCAACGCACACAAGCUCCUGCUUGCCUCUGGUAACUUCUCGUGAGCCUGACUAUGCUGACGCCACAGUGAUUUCCCAAGUUUCCACAGCAGGGAAGCAGAGCGGUGUUAGCACUUGCAGGGCCAGCUGCCUUUCAUGCACACUGGCAGCUCCGUCAGCCCAGCAAAGCCCAAACAUUUUGUACCACGCGCAGGACUAGGCUAAGGAAUAUAUAGUUGUCAACUGUAAGGUCAGACUACAAGGCUACGCUUCUAAUGGGUAACUAGGAAAAAUAAACAAUAUCAAAAAUUAGAAGAGUGUAAGAAGAGAGAAACUAUUUUGAACAUGGAAAUAAACUAAUAGGAUCUAAAAGGUCCUUUUUAACCUCCUUAAAAGAUCUUCAUCAACAUUUUUUAUUUUGCAUCUUGACCAGCUGCCAAUCUGAUUUGGAGCUACAUGUGAGUACCUGUGAUGGUAUGCUAGGACUACCUAUGCUCAUCACUAGCUUCUUGUCAGGGAUUUUAUCAAAUGCUUUUCAAAGGAACAAAUAAAUCAUGAGAGGCUGCCCUUCAUUUACUCCUGUGUUAGUUCAACUCAUUCUAAUUAACUGGGAAGAGGGGGCGUACAGUCACACCAUGACACAGGUUUGUCUCUAGCAGACGACAUCACAUACAGUGAUGAGGCAACAAUUUCAGCAUGUAGAUGGAGAGAUAAAUAAGUAUUUCAUGUCUCUCACCUUAAUUACCUAUUCAUCAAAUCUAACUGAAUAUGCACAAAUGCUACCUGGCUUGCAGUACCCUGGAUGAAGGACCACUGACUAAUCUCCAGUCUUCAGGCAUAGCAGAUCUUUUUAGUGACAGAUUAAAUAUUUCUGUUAGUAUUCCUGCUGUUUCAUUCUAAAUUUGCUGCACAGCACUUAGAUGAAACUUCUGGUCCCAGUGACUCGUGGCAGUUUAAAUUAUCGCUUCUGCUUCAGCGUCUUUUCCAACAGCUCUCUGUCUCUGACAAUGCCUUAUCUAUACUGCCUGCAAACAGCAGCUCCAAGGCAGGUAUCUCCCCUAACUGUUCUGCAGCCACAAUAGAUUCAAUAAGUCAUUUACCUUUUGCAGUGCUUUGAUUCUCCUUGAAUUGGGCUGUUUAUUUGCUGGUAGUGGGCAGACUUUUUUACAGAUUUCUGAUCUUCAAGAUGGAUAAAGAGCUCAGCAUUGUAGGCUUAGUAGCCUUCUUUGUAUCCAUCUUAUCUUUCAUAUCUGCUUUGGUGCCGUGUCUUAAAUGGACAGCACACACAAUAUCUAUUUAGUCUCUGUUACUCUGAAGCCCUUCAACAGGCAGAAAUACAAUCUAUUCCUCCUGUAGUAUUAUACUAUGUAAUGAAACUUAAAUGACAAUAAUAUUCUUUCAGAAUAUUCAGAGCUUGCUUUGUAUAUUUGAUAGGAUUCUUUCUAUUGCUGUAAUUAAUUCUCUGCAUCUGGCCAAAGAUUGCAUUUGUUAUUUUCCUGAGUGGAAAAGGUCUAUUAACAUGUAAAUUAGCAGUUCUUCAUUUUUUGGAGGAGAACUUUUCAACAUGUUAAUGAUAAUUUCAAAAUAGUGGUCCCUUUCACAUUUAAAAAGUGUAAGUUUUGCUUAUGUUUCAAUAGAGGAGGCCAACUUAAAAAUCAGGUUUAGUAAGAGCAUGGAAGAUUAAUAUUGGACAGCCUGGUUCACCAUCAGUGGCUGUGGAGAGUUAUCAGCAGAGGUAGGCAUAAAUGCAGGAAGAGUGUCGGAAAUGAAUGAAUAUAGGGAAUGAAAACUUGAACUCUGUAUAAAAAGAGUAAUGUGUGUCUCAGUGAGCAGUCAGAAUGAUUGAAGAAGACAGAGUCACCUGCGCUGGCUAUCUAAUGUGUGGAAGUUGCUGCUGUGUGAUUUGCAAAUUGGAUUUGCAUGUGCAGUUGUAUCUGUAGUGGGGUUCUUGGGCCUCACUAGACCACUGAUGAGAGGUAUACGGCCUUCAGACACAAAGAGAAAAAAAUAGGCUCCAUCCACGUUAGACACCUUCAGGGUGUUUGUUAUUACUAGGGCCAUAAGUCAGUGUAGCUUUACGGAAGUUAGUGGAGUUGAGCAUAUACUAGUCAAACCCCUGGGUCUUGGAGGGAACAUUUUCAUGAGCUGUGAAAAGGAUGCUUUAUAGAGGAAAAGACAUCCUUUCCUUUGGCAACUCUCAAAGUAAUGGAAACUUUCAAGUUUACUAUGUAAGAAAGAAGCUGAAAAUUCAAACAGACAGCAUUGCUUAGCCUGGAAGACUAUUCCCUGGAAAGCUUUACGAUUUCUAAAAGAACCUAUUUGACCCUGCUGCAGUAUGAUUUCUAACACCCUGCAAAGUCCUCACCAGUGGGGUGUGGUUUGCACUGGUAUUACCUCCUCCAGUUACAAACUGGGACAAAAUGUGGAAGCACUGGACUGGCAGAAACCACAUCAGUGAGGUACAAGGCUGGGCACGGCAUGCCUCUGCUGCAGCUCGGGAGAGGACCAAGGGCGAGGGCCCUAAGGUGGCUCCUGAAUGAGGGGGGAGCCUGAUGAGGCUGGUUGCAGCUCACUUUUGCCAGGUCUUUCACCGCAGCCUGACCACGGGCCCGUAGCAGAGGUGCCACCUGCCCCAGCUCAGGGCCUUACUUCCAGCAGCAGCUGUCAGGGAGGCCGGCUGGGAGACAACCUGCUAGCCAGCUCCGUUGUCACCUACUUGGCAGGGGGAGGCAGAGGUUGAGAGAAAUUUCAGUUAAGAUAAAAUCUGCAAAUGUAAUUACCCUUCUGUGUUUCACCUCAAUUUAACACACACUUGGUCAGGUAAGCCUGUUGCUUAAAUUCUAGUAAAUUCAAAGGAUAGAUCCUUUUGCAUGUAAAACACUGUUCUCCAAACAAUUUUUUCAUGUUUUAAAAUCUCACCAAACUCAACCUAUAACUUCAGGAUCUUGGCAAGAAAGAAUAAUUUGGCCCUUUAGGAAAUUUAUAACUUAGUAAGCCUGAUCUAGGCCACAUACACAUCCAGCUUUGUCCAUUCUUCAUCAUUCAGCUUGGUGAUUGGGACAGGCUUACAUAAAUACUGCAGUUGUUGCACAAGCUAUCAUGUGAAGACACAGAUUUCUUCCAUUCACGGAUUAAUAAGCAUUUUUGUUGAGUGCUUCAGUAUGACUAAAUUUGUACUUCUGUCUG